rnacentral:rRNA from 1 species
CGCCCUCCCGUCCGCCCGACCACUACGACGUACCGUACCGGUAACGGGGACGGACGGGCGAGGUGGGGUAAGUUUUGGCGCAAGUACGGGGAAACCGUGACGCAGCAACGCCGCGUGGAGGAUGAAAUCCUUGGGAUGUAAACUCCUUUCGACUGGGAAGAUAAUGACGGUACCAGGAGAAGAAGCCCGGCUAACUUCGUGCCAGCAGCCGCGGUAAUAC